AUUGAACGCUAGCGACAGGCUUAACACAUGCAAGUCGAGGGGCAGCAUAAAAGUAGCAAUACUUUGGUGGCGACCGGCGCACGGGUGAGUAACGCGUAUGCAACCUACCUAUCAGAGGGGGAUAACCCGGCGAAAGUCGGACUAAUACCGCAUAAAACAGGGGCACCGCAUGGUGAUAUUUGUUAAAAAUUUAAUUGCUGAUAGAUGGGCAUGCGUUCCAUUAGGUAGUUGGAGAGGUAACGGCUCACCAAGCCUACGAUGGAUAGGGGAACUGAGAGGUUGGUCCCCCACACUGGUACUGAGACACGGACCAGACUCCUACGGGAGGCAGCAGUGAGGAAUAUUGGUCAAUGGGCGAGAGCCUGAACCAGCCAAGUCGCGUGAAGGAAGAAGGAUCUAUGGUUCGUAAACUUCUUUUUGCAGGGGAAUAAAGUGCAGGACGUGUCCUGUUUUGUAUGUACCCUGAGAAUAAGGAUCGGCUAACUCCGUGCCAGCAGCCGCGGUAAAGUAG
rnacentral:rRNA from 1 species